UCCUACGGGAGGCAGCAGUGGGGAAUAUUGCACAAUGGGCGCAAGCCUGAUGCAGCAACGCCGCGUGAGGGACGAAGGCCUUCGGGUUGUAAACCUCUUUUAGUAGGGAAGAAGCGACUGGGUUUUCCUGGGAGUGACGGUACCUGCAGAAAAAGCACCGGCUAACUACGUGCCAGCAGCCGCGGUAAUACGUAGGGUGCAAGCGUUGUCCGGAAUUAUUGGGCGUAAAGAGCUCGUAGGCGGUUUGUCGCGUCUGCUGUGAAAACCCGAGGCUCAACCUCGGGCCUGCAGUGGGUACGGGCAGACUAGAGUGCGGUAGGGGAGAUUGGAAUUCCUGGUGUAGCGGUGGAAUGCGCAGAUAUCAGGAGGAACACCAAUGGCGAAGGCAGAUCUCUGGGCCGUAACUGACGCUGAGGAGCGAAAGCAUGGGGAGCGAACAGGAUUAGAUACCCUGGUAGUCCAUGCCGUAAACGUUGGGAACUAGAUGUGGGGACCAUUCCACGGUCUCCGUGUCGCAGCUAACGCAUUAAGUUCCCCGCCUGGGGAGUACGGCCGCAAGGCUAAAACUCAAAGGAAUUGACGGGGGCCCGCACAAGCGGCGGAGCAUGCGGAUUAAUUCGAUGCAACGCGAAGAACCUUACCAAGGCUUGACAUAUACCGGAAACGGCUGGAAACAGUCGCCCCGCAAGGUCGGUAUACAGGUGGUGCAUGGUUGUCGUCAGCUCGUGUCGUGAGAUGUUGGGUUAAGUCCCGCAACGAGCGCAACCCUCGUCCUAUGUUGCCAGCACGUAAUGGUGGGAACUCAUGGGAUACUGCCGGGGUCAACUCGGAGGAAGGUGGGGAUGACGUCAAAUCAUCAUGCCCCUUAUGUCUUGGGCUUCACGCAUGCUACAAUGGCCGGUACAAAGGGCUGCGAUACCGCAAGGUGGAGCGAAUCCCAAAAAGCCGGUCUCAGUUCGGAUUGAGGUCUGCAACUCGACCUCAUGAAGUCGGAGUCGCUAGUAAUCGCAGAUCAGCAACGCUGCGGUGAAUACGUUCCC
rnacentral:rRNA from 1 species